CACUGAAAUGAGCCUCAAUCCUGGCUGGCUCAGAGGAGAGGGAGGAGGGCAGAGGAGACGGAACAGAAGAGAAAACGUAACCCUACUUGGUAUAUCCACAGACACCUGACCAGACAGAAGGAAUAGCGCUGCAGGUGCAGGACUUGACAAAAGUGGGAUACAGGAGCAGCAGCCCUGGUAUGAAUGAGUCAUUCAGAGGCUUCUCAUGCAUCUUAAACAUGGAAUACAGGAACAGAUGGAACCUUUGGAAUGAGGAAUGCAGUUAAAGAGAACCUUCAUCAAGAAUUUUGAAGACUUUUUCAUUCAUACCACCCGUAUGUAAAAUGUAUGCAGACAUGACUGUAAGUCGCUCUGGAUAAAAGCGCCCUCUAAAUAUAUUAUUAUAUUGUCACAUGUUCUAAUGAGAGUUAGGGAAUCCUAGUUAUCGUGUCGACUAGGCUGCUGACUGCUAGCUCAUGUUUCCCAUGCAGAUAGCACAUUAAAAUAAAAUGACAUUCAAAGGUGCCCUCUUAUCUCAGGAAAUAAUUAGCUAUUUUUGAAUAGGAGAUUCAUAUUACUCUGCAUAGAAAAAUAAAUAAA